UCAGUCAAAGAGGGUAAAAACCCCGUAGACGAAAUGUGGAAGACACCUAGGAGGAUCCUGAGUACGGCGGAACACGAGAAAUUCCGUCGGAAUCCGGGAGGACCAUCUCCCAAGGCUAAAUACUCCCUAGUGACCGAUAGUGAACCAGUACCGUGAGGGAAAGGUGAAAAGCACCCCGGAAGGGGAGUGAAAUAGAACCUGAAACCGUGUGCCUACAACAAGUCAAAGCCCGUUAAUGGGUGAUGGCGUGCCUUUUGUAGAAUGAACCGGCGAGUUACGAUUGCAUGCGAGGUUAAGUUGAAGAGACGGAGCCGCAGCGAAAGCGAGUCUGAAUAGGGCGUUUGAGUAUGUAGUCGUAGACCCGAAACCAUGUGAUCUACCCAUGUCCAGGUUGAAGGUGCGGUAAAACGCACUGGAGGACCGAACCCACGUACGUUGAAAAGUGCGGGGAUGAGGUGUGGGUAGCGGAGAAAUUCCAAACGAACUUGGAGAUAGCUGGUUCUCUCCGAAAUAGCUUUAGGGCUAGCCUCGGAAUUGAGAAUGAUGGAGGUAGAGCACUGUUUGGACUAGGGGCCCAUCUCGGGUUACCGAAUUCAGAUAAACUCCGAAUGCCAUUCAUUCAUAUCCGGGAGUCAGACUGUGAGUGAUAAGAUCCAUAGUCGAAAGGGAAACAGCCCAGACCACCAGCUAAGGUCCCAAAAUAUAUGUUAAGUGGAAAAGGAUGUGGGGUUGCACAGACAACUAGGAUGUUGGCUUAGAAGCAGCCACCAUUUAAAGAGUGCGUAAUAGCUCACUAGUCGAGUGACCCUGCGCCGAAAAUGUACCGGGGCUAAACAUAUUACCGAAGCUGUGGAGUACACCUUUAGGUGUAUUGGUAGGAGAGCGUUCUAAGGGCGUUGAAGGCAGAUCGUGAGGACUGCUGGAGCGCUUAGAAGUGAGAAUGCCGGUAUGAGUAGCGAAAGACAGGUGAGAAUCCUGUCCACCGAAUGACUAAGGUUUCCUGGGGAAGGCUCGUCCGCCCAGGGUUAGUCGGGACCUAAGCCGAGGCCGACAGGCGUAGGCGAUGGAUAACAGGUUGAUAUUCCUGUACCCGUUGUUUUUGUUUGAGCAAUGGAGGGACGCAGGAGGCUAAGGAAUGCAGACGAUCGGAAAUGUCUGUCCAAGCAGUAAGUCUGAAGAGGAGUCAAAUGCUUCUUUUCUUAAGGACAAGCUGUGAUGGGGAGGGAAAUAAUAGUACCGAAGUUCCUGAUGUCACACUGCCGAGAAAAGCUUCUAGUGAGAAAACAGCGGCCCGUACCGCAAACCGACACAGGUAGUCGAGGAGAGAAUCCUAAGGUGAGCGAGAGAACUCUCGUUAAGGAACUCGGCAAAAUGACCCCGUAACUUCGGGAGAAGGGGUGCUGAUCAUACGAUCAGCCGCAGUGAAUAGGCCCAAGCGACUGUUUAUCAAAAACACAGGUCUCUGCAAAAUCGUAAGAUGAAGUAUAGGGGCUGACGCCUGCCCGGUGCUGGAAGGUUAAGAGGAGUGCUUAGCGCAAGCGAAGGUACGAAUUGAAGCCCCAGUAAACGGCGGCCGUAACUAUAACGGUCCUAAGGUAGCGAAAUUCCUUGUCGGGUAAGUUCCGACCCGCACGAAAGGCGUAACGAUUUGGGCACUGUCUCAACGAGAGACUCGGUGAAAUUUUAGUACCUGUGAAGAUGCAGGUUACCCGCGACAGGACGGAAAGAC
rnacentral:rRNA from 1 species